rnacentral:rRNA from 1 species
AGUGAACGCUGGCGGUAGGCCUAACACAUGCAAGUCGAACGGCAGCACAGUAAGAGCUUGCUCUUACGGGUGGCGAGUGGCGGACGGGUGAGGAAUACAUCGGAAUCUACUUUUUCGUGGGGGAUAACGUAGGGAAACUUACGCUAAUACCGCAUACGACCUACGGGUGAAAGCAGGGGAUCUUCGGACCUUGCGCGAUUGAAUGAGCCGAUGUCGGAUUAGCUAGUUGGCGGGGUAAAGGCCCACCAAGGCGACGAUCCGUAGCUGGUCUGAGAGGAUGAUCAGCCACACUGGAACUGAGACACGGUCCAGACUCCUACGGGAGGCAGCAGUGGGGAAUAUUGGACAAGGGGCGCAAGCCUGAUCCAGCCAUACCGCGUGGGUGAAGAAGGCCUUCGGGUUGUAGAGCCCUUUUGUUGGGAAAGAAAAGCAGCAGGUUAAUACCCCGCUGUUCUGACGGUACCCAAAGAAUAAGCACCGGCUAACUUCGUG